GGUAUAUAUACAGCAAUUGUAAGCGUGCCAUAGUCAAAUUCAAGGGACAUGAUGAGAAACAUCUACAUCUGUUUAACCGUUCUUUUGUCGCUACAUCUAACACAAGCACACGCAACUUGGGAUUACAUCUUUUAUAAGAGGGAUUCCGAGAUGCCAAAACAAGAUAGAGGGGUUUUGAUUGCGAGGGUUCCCAAGUGGCGAUGACAAGAUAGAGGGGUUAUGAUUGCGGGGGAAUCAGAGAGGUCAAAACAGGAUAGAGGAGUCAUGAUGGCGAGAAAAGCCAGAUUGUCGUCCAUAGUAGACCCCUGGUGGAGACAAUGAAGUUAGCUGACAUGUCGGGCGUCCGGGGUACAAAUUCAUAUUUUUUAGAUGUUGAUUGCCCAAAUGCUAUUUACUGGAUAUUUACAAUAAAUUCAUAUUUACAAUGCACUGUGUCAACCAGUGAAUUUGUAUGUGCUUUAAUUAUUCUAACAAAAACAAAAUAUUUUAAACCAAAUUUUAAAUAUCAAUAGAUACAUUUAUAGAGGAAUAAUACAUAUGGAAAUUAUCGACAAUAUGAAUGCAUGAGAUACAAAGUACCACAUUUUAAAAAGUGUUGGCAUUAAAUAUUAAUCAUUUAAGUUCUUGUGUAAAGUGAUGUCUAAUUUAAGAAGAAUUAUUGAUAUCGGUAUACCUGCCAACGUUAAAAUGAUUUGCAUAAAAAGGUAUUUAUCCUCUUAUCGUUACAAUUUAAAAUAUCUACCACUCAUACACAAUUUUGUUUAGAAAUCGUCUUAAUUUCUGAAUGUAAUAUGGGAAAUUAA